AAAACAUUAAGGGUGUGCUUAAUCGUGGAAAACCAGCAUCAAUUUCUGGAAAAUUUUUCCAAGAAAACUAGAAAAUAUAGUUCUGUUUUCCAUUGUAAAAGUUUUCCAAACUAGAAAAUACAUCAGGCCCCUCAAAAUCACAGGUAGAAGAAUUUCACAAAUAAACAAAUCGCAAACAAUUUCAUCCAAAAAUAACAGUACAAAAUCAAAACUCAAAU
rnacentral:misc_RNA from 1 species